UCCGAAGGGGGCUAGCGUUGCUCGGAAUCACUGGGCGUAAAGGGUGCGUAGGCGGGUCUUUAAGUCAGGGGUGAAAUCCUGGAACUCAACUCCAGAACUGCCUUUGAUACUGAGGAUCUUGAGUUCGGGAGAGGUGAGUGGAACUGCGAGUGUAGAGGUGAAAUUCGUAGAUAUUCGCAAGAACACCAGUGGCGAAGGCGGCUCACUGGCCCGAUACUGACGCUGAGGCACGAAAGCGUGGGGAGCAAACAGG
rnacentral:rRNA from 1 species